GCCCUGGUCUUCAAACGAAUUCAGUGCAGGCCAAGAAGCACAGUUUGGCCUGGGUUGGAUGCUCUAUAUUUUCAAAGAGUGAAAUGCCUUGAGACACAGCCUUUGCUAUAGUACCUGCUAAAACUUCAACGUGUGGAUAAAUAUAGCUUACAUUGAAUCGAAUAGACUCAGCGAGAGUGGCAGUGAAGGAUGCCCUCUGGAAGAUUCGAGGUGCUGAGGCCAAAGGGCUAGCAAGGAAAGAGCGUGCGGGUCAGGCCCUUCAGCCUGGUGGAAGAGCAGGCAGGGAGGGUCCUAUGGUUCCUGGGAGGACCCGAAGCAUGAUCGCCUGUCAAGAGCCAAGAGCCCUAAUGGCCAGCGCCGGGGAAAGGGCCCCCGAGGGGCAGUCAGCAGCCCUGCAGGGGCGGCGUUCACACUCCUGUGUGGCACGGGACACUCAUGGCUCCACCAGCUCCUGAAGCUUCUGGGAGCCAGAGAGUCAGCAGGGAGAAUCCCACACACGGGCACUCAGUUCCUGGAAACCCUGCAUGAGAUGCGGGAUCCCGAAGCCAGAUUGGGGGUCCCUAGGGUCUUGGCUUCGGGGCUAGGCGCGGAACCGUAAAUGAGGGUUCAGCCUGUCUGCCUGAGGGAUUGUGUUUCCUGGCGUAUUUAUCACUCAAAUUUUGAAAAGCAGUCGAAUUUGUUAUAUUGGAAACCCUAGUAGUUAAAAACAGCAGAUGGUAACAUUUCAGGAAUAUGUCUUGUGCCAGGAACUGUGAGGGGUUUCUGUAGUGUAGUGAUUACAUGUUCCCUUCACAUGUGAAAGGUCUCAGGUUUGGGACCUUUCAUCAUCAACAUGAUGAAACCCCGUCUCCAGUAAAAAUACAAAAAUUAGCCAGGCGUGGUGGUGCAUGCCUGUAAUCCCAGCUCCUCGGGAGGCUGAGGCAGGAGAAUUGCUUAAUUCCAAGAGGUAGAUGUUGCGGUGAGCUGAGAUUGUGCCAUUGCACUCCAGCCUAGGCAGCAAGAGUGAGACUACGUCUUAAAAAAAAAAAAAAGAAAGAAAGAAAAGAAAACAGAGGACUUUAAAACCGUUAUUAUGUCAAUAUUCUAUGGGUCCAAAGAAUUAAGCAGAGGUAUCAAACAUAUAAAAAUGGUCAGAAUCAAACUUUGGAGAUUAAAAACUACAACAUCUGAGAUAAUAAAUUCACUGGAUGCAAUUAACAGCAGAUUAGACACUGCAGAAAAAAAGAUUAUGAAACACAAAGCCGCCGGGCACCGUGGCUCAGGCCUGUAAUCCCAGCACUUUGGGAGGCGGAGGCGGGUGGAUCACGAUGUCCAGAGAUAGAGCCCAUCCUGGCUAAAACAGUGAGACCCCCGUCUUUACAAAAAAAAAAAAAAAAAAAAAAAAAAAAAUAUAUAUAUAUAUAUAUAUAUAUAUAUAUAUAUAUAUAUAUAUAUAAAAAUUAGCUGGACAUGGUGGCGGGCGCCUGUAGUCCCAGCUAAUCGGGAACCUGAGGCAGGAGAAUGGCAUGAACCCGGGAGGCGGAGCUUGCAGUGAGCCGAGAUGGUGCCACUGCACCCCAGCCUGGGCGACAGAGCAAGACUCCCUCUAAAAAAAAAAAAAAAAAAAAAAAAAAAAACCGCACUGAGGGGAAAAGUCAAUGUGAAAUUCUACAAAAGCUGAAAAUUCACUACCACCAGCCAUUACCACAAAAAAAAAAAAAAGUUGAAGGAGUCCUCCAGGCAGAACGAAACUGACAUCGGAUGAAAAUCUGGUUGUACAAAAAAAAAAAAAAAAAAAAACUAGACAUGACAUCUAAUAGACGAAUAUAUAAUUUUAACAUCUGACUGUUUAGCUGGGCGUGGUGGCUCACGCCUGUAAUCCCAGCACUUUGGGAAGCUGAGGCAGGCAGAUCACUUGAGGUCAGGUGGUUGAGACCAGCUUGGCCAAUAUGGUGAACCCCUCUCUCUACUAAAAAUACAAAAAUUAGUCCGGUGUGGUGGCCCACGCCUGUAAUCUCUGCUACUCAGGAGUCUGAGUCAGGACAAUCGCUUGAACCCGGGAAGCAGAGGUUGCAGUGAGCCAAGAUUGUUCCACUGCACUCCAGCCUAUCUGGAACCUAGUUUGAUCUGGAGGGAUCUUAUUUUAUAGGAGGCUUGGAGGGGGACCUUUUGCUUUAUGUACUUAUAGGAUGCACAAGACACAAGGGAACAAUCUCUCACUUUUUAAAUACAGUGAUAGGCCUGAGGAGAAACAACUGCAAUUUUUUUUUUUUUUUUUUUUUUAAUGAGAUGGGAUUCUCACUGGUCUUGAACUGAGCUCAGGCGAGGCUUCCCCUACGUCGGCCUCUCAAAGUGUUGGGAUUAAUAGGCGUGAGCCACCGCGCCUGACCACAACUAACCAACAUUUAAAAGCACGUCCCUGGGUAGGCUCGAACCACCAACUUUCCGGUUAACAGCCGAACGCGCUAACCAAUUGCUCCACGGAGAUAACCUCAGUUGGUCGCUUUCAUCUCAACAUAGAUUAAGCAAUCACUAAACUCUAGGGGUUGCCAUUCGCUUUCUGCAGGACAACUGUGCAGACUACAAAGCUUCGGAAAACCGGAGAGGCUGAGUCGACUAAUCGUGUUGUUGCACGUUAGAAACGCUUGCAUUGCCUGACUCUGAAACCAGAAGGGCGGCCGAAUGGCCUUCACCCUCCAUUAACCCUCGCCUCCUUCAGAAGCCAGUGCCUCUGGAAAUGCCUGGAUCUGCGACCCCAGCCUGAGCCUAGUAGGGCCCAAGGGAAGCUGAACGCCCCGACGGCUCUCAUGGUAGGUAGCUCUUUCUGUUUUUUUGCGCCGCCUUCAGGCAAUCAUCUACUCCGCUUGCUAUCCCCUCACUCAACUCGGCUUCAGUAGAUGGGGUUGGUGGGGCGGGAGCGGGAAAGAGGCAGGGGAGUCAAAAGGGAAAACCUGAAAAGAAGGAGGGAGAAGAAGCAGGGGAGACCAGGACGAGACAAUGGGACAGCCCAGGAUGCCGGUGCAGAGGGCAGCGGCUGGAUGCAGAGAAGAUGGGACACGUAUCAGAAUGGACUGGAGAAGACGUGAGGGAAAAUCACAAGAACCUGUAGCUGCCCAAGAAUAAACACGUAAAAAUCGCAUAAAUGUUUUUACAUUAAAAAAAAAAUCGGGGGACCGGGCGCAGUGGCUCACGCCUGUAAUCCCAGCACUUUGGGAGGCCGAGGUGGGUGGAUCACUCACUUGAAGUCAGGAGUUCGAGACCAGCCGGGCCAACAUGGUGAAAGCCCGUCUCUACUAAAAAUACAAAAAUUAGCUGGGUGUGGUGGCGACGCUUGUAGUCCCAGCUACUCAGGAGGCUGAGGCAGGAGAAUCGCUUGAACCUGAGAGGCAGAGGUGGCAGUGAGCCGAGAUCGCGCCACUGCCCUCCAGCCUGGGCGACAAAGCGAAAUUCUGUCUCUCAAAAAAAAUGCAUAAAUAAAUAAAAGAGGGGUGGGGAAGCAAAACGACGGGCAGUAGGUGUGGGGCGCAUUGGGAUUCUAUAGUGGUUAGUACCCUGCCUUGUGCCUGCAGCAACCUCUGUUCUAAUCUGAAUCCUGGUACAGUCAGACUCUAUCUUGGACCCACUGGGGCGAACCCACGAGUCUUUUGGUUUGCUUUUAAUUCCUGCACCAGCUGCGGCCUUUAUCUGCAGCCAGAAAGCAGGGUUUACCGCUGGCCCCACAGCGCCAUACGGUCUGGGGAAAAGAAGGAAACCCAAUAGUACACAAACAAAGGCCCAAAGAGAAACCUUCCAAGUGCUCUAUGCCUCACGGUUUAGCAGAAAAUAUCAAGCAACUCUCAACCUAGCUGGUCUGUAGCUUCCACAAAUGAAAUACUGUAUUCAUUGCAGCCUUUCUGGUUGAGAUAUUUCAAAUAUUUGGUGGGGCUUUUAAUGAGACGGAGAGACACUCUCGAGUGUGGAAGAAAAACAUGAGGGGGUGUGAGGAUAAGGCGACUUUAGGACAGAAAAAACAAAGAGACAAGGAAGCCACGUAAACGUUUUCGGGUAGGCGUGAGGCGAUGUCAGUUUUGAACCCCGUUUAUGUUAGGUAGAGAGCGCAGCCCUCUUCUAGCACAAACACCGUUUCCCACAUUGAAGAAAUCACAGAGAUCAGCAACUCUAGAGUGCGAUGAAGAAGCUUCACUCUGGGAGAACCCCCUUCGUGACCACGGUCUCUUUCCUGCCAGGUAAGUGGGAAUGAGCGCAUGCCCUGCAGGGACAGCACAGCGUCCUCGCCCUGGUCGGACGCUCAGGUUCACCACCCUACCCACUGCCCCCUUCGCCAUUCUUCCAAACCACUCUCUGCCAAAGAUUCCACCGACAGUCACCCCACACGACAACCCAGGCCGCCUUUCAGCAGUGGCUCCCGCCCCGCAACCACGCGCCCUCUCACCCCCGCGGUUCUGCCCGCCGCCUCUGUCCAGUCUGUGCACUUCACCUCCCUGGCUCCCGCUCUCCCCUGAGCUUACAGUGGACGCGGGGUUCUUCCAAACCCCUCUUGGGAAUACUGAAUGGAAAAGGGGGAGCGUGCGCAAGUGCUUGGUAGAGUGUAGACAUUGUGGGAUUUGACUGUGGUACCAUCGCUUUGACGUCCUAGUGCUGAUUUUUACACCUGCAUUCUGCUUAGGGCACUGGCAACAGUUUUCCGUUUGUGCCUACUCCACCUGCUGUCUUUGUUGGGUCAGCGAACAUCGCCUCCCUCUACCGCUCAAUCAGCAAAAGGGACCGCCCUUGAGGACCUCACCCGCCGCUCACUCCCCUCCCAACUUCGCGGGCAUCGCCUCCGGUCGCCUCUUCCGAAGGCCUAACGAGCAUGUUAGCUGCGAACGGAGCUAAACAAGCACUGGCCUUGAGAUAAGCAAUGCUGAAGCACUUGCAGCUCACCUAUUACCAUAAACUGACUGAGCCCUCCCUACACAAGCCGUAACUACUGCUUUGAUUGGACAAGAGACUGAUUUCAGUAGUUUUCUCUUGAUAAGAGACCACUGGCCGUGGGCGGGUUCUGGACAGUUUACAGAAGCUAUGCACUUGAUUGCCUUUGUGUCCCUGCUUCACCUUUUGAAGCAUAGGGCCUAAUUAUAAUGUAUUUAAAUGUUGUCUCCACCCCAAAGUGAACAUGGGUUGCAUGUAACAGGCAUGUUUACUCAGCAUGCAUGCAGCAGGAUCCCUUCACAAAUAUUCAGAGCUCCCCCUAUUCCCUGUUGAAUAUGUAUAUGUGGCCAGCCAGAUCAACGUAAAUCACUAUUCGCCCUCCCCUCCCUGGAAACCUACUUUUCGGGUUUCAGCAGGAAGCUAUGCCUCCC
rnacentral:tRNA from 1 species